rnacentral:rRNA from 1 species
ACCCUUAGAUGUCCUGGGCCGCACGCGUGCUACACUGAUACAUGCAGCGAGUACUUUCCGGCCCCGUGAGGUGGCCGGUAAUCAGCAAUAUGUAUCGUGAUGGGGAUAGAUCUUUGGAAUUAUUGAUCUUGAACGAGGAAUGCCUAGUAAGCGCAGGUCAUUAGCCUGCGUUGAUUAAGUCCCUGCCCUUUGUACACACCGCCCGUCGCUCCUACCGAUUUCGAGUGGUCCGGUGAAAUAUUUGGAUUACGUUGGUUUCGGCUAACGUGAGAAAUCUCUUGAACCAUAUCACUUAGAGGAAGGAGAAGUCGUAACA